rnacentral:rRNA from 1 species
AGAGUUUGAUCAUGGCUCAGGACAAACGCUGGCGGCGUGCCUAACACAUGCAAGUCGAGCGUGAAAGGAGCUUCGGCUCCGAGUAAAGCGGCGAACGGGUGAGUAACACGUGGGUAACCUGCCUCAAGGACUGGGAUAACUCCGGGAAACCGGGGCUAAUACCGGACGAUGUCGUCCGGCGCAAGCCGGCCGACCAAAGGUAGCUUCGGCCUCUGCCUUGAGAUGGGCCCGCGUCCUAUCAGCUUGUGGGUGAGGUAACGGCUCACCAAGGCUACGACGGGUAGCUGGUCUGAGAGGAUGAUCAGCCACACUGGGACUGAGAUACGGCCCAGACUCCUACGGGAGGCAGCAGUGGGGAAUCUUGCGCAAUGGGCGAAAGCCUGACGCAGCAACGCCGCGUGAGCGAAGAAGGCCUUCGGGUUGUAAAGCUCUGUCAGGGGGAAAGAAGGCACCUGGGUUAAUAGCCCAAGGGCUGACGGUACCUCCAAAGGAAGCCACGGCUAACUACGUGCCAGCAGCCGCGGUAAUACGUAGGUGGCAAGCGUUGUCCGGAAUCAUCGGGCGUAAAGAGCGCGUAGGUGGCUUGUCAGGUCUGAUGUGAAAACCUGGGGCUCAACUCCAGGCUUGCAUCAGAAACCGGCUUGCUAGAGUCUGGGAGAGGAGAGUGGAAUUCCUGGUGUAGCGGUGAAAUGCGUAGAUAUCAGGAGGAACACCGGUAGCGAAGGCGGCUCUCUGGAACAGUACUGACGCUGAGGCGCGAAAGCUAGGGGAGCGAACAGGAUUAGAUACCCUGGUAGUCCUAGCCGUAAACGAUGGACACUAGGUGUCGGGGGUGUCGACUCCCUCGGUGCCGAAGCUAACGCAUUAAGUGUCCCGCCUGGGGACUACGGCCGCAAGGCUAAAACUCAAAUGAAUUGACGG